rnacentral:rRNA from 1 species
UACAGAGGUCUCGAGCGUUAGGCGGAAUCACUGGGCUUAAAGCGUGUGUAGGCGGAUCGGUAAGUACCUUGUGAAAUCCCACAGCUUAACUGUGGAACUGCUUGGUAUACUGCCAGUCUUGAGCCACUUAGGGGCUACCGGAACAAAUGGUGGAGCGGUGAAAUGCGUAGAUAUCAGGAGGAACACCAAUGGCGAAGGCAGCACUCUGGGACGUGACUGACGCUGAGACGCGAAAGCGUGGGGAGCAAACAGG